AUGGGGCAGAAGACUUUUCUUUUGAAUUUACAAAAUAUUGCAUCUGUGCAAAAUGGCCUACGGAGACCAUCAACUGGGCUCAUCUUAUCUCCCAGGGAGACGGGGUCUGCCCUCAGUGUACUGCAAGGCUGGGAUGUUUCAAUGAUGCCCGAGGUGAGAGCAGACUGGCAUAGCGGCUACACCUGGGGGAUUCCCAGUUCUUUCUGGACACUUGAUGUCUCAAGUUCCAAGGCCAGCUCAUCUGAGAAGGUAACACCAGCCCUAAGGCUUGCUUUGAACCCUUUGGAAUUGUGGACCCUGAUAAAGAAAGUUCCCCACACACACCUUUAUUGUAGAUCAGGCUGGGAUUCCUAGAUCUGUGGUUCUACAUUGGUUUCUGGACUUGCCCUGACUAAGGACCGUGUGAUAUUGAGUGAGGUACCAUCUGCUCAUGCUUGACUAUGUGACUCGGGG
rnacentral:lncRNA from 1 species